rnacentral:rRNA from 1 species
AUGUGUGGCACCGUGGCCGCGCCCAGCUCGCCGGCGCCUCGCGGCUCCUCGCCGCGCACACUCCCACUUCCUUCUCCCCAAAAUUUCCCCCAACAAAGCAAGCCACCUUCAGCUCUGCCUCCGAAUGCCUUCUUCAUAGACGUGCCCGAGCCCGUCGCGAUGGCCAUCGUCGUGUCCCGCGCGGUGCUGCUGGCGGCCGUCGCAUCGCUCGCAUGUCUCGCCUACGCGGAGCCACCUCCGAGCGAGCGGUCCGCGCUGCUGGCGUUCCUCAUGGCCGUGCCCCACGAGCGGAGGCUCGGCUGGAACACCUCCACGCCGGCCUGCGCCUGGGUCGGGGUCACGUGCGACGCCGCCCAGUCCACCAUCGUUCAGCUACGCCUCCCGGGGGUCGGCCUCGUCGGCGCCAUCCCACCGGAAGGACAUGCUCGAACUAGAACAUGGUGA